GACGAACCGAGCGAACGUUGUUCGGAAUUACUGGGCGUAAAGGGCUCGUAGGCGGCCAACUAAGUCAGACGUGAAAUCCCUCGGCUUAACCGGGGAACUGCGUCUGAUACUGGAUGGCUUGAGUUUGGGAGAGGGAUGCGGAAUUCCAGGUGUAGCGGUGAAAUGCGUAGAUAUCUGGAGGAACACCGGUGGCGAAGGCGGCAUCCUGGACCAACACUGACGCUGAGUGAGCGAAAGCCAGGGGAGCAAACGGG
rnacentral:rRNA from 1 species